UGGGGAAUAUUGGGCAAUGGGCGCAAGCCUGACCCAGCAACGCCGCGUGAAGGAAGAAGGCUUUCGGGUUGUAAACUUCUUUUAUGAGGGACGAAACAAAUGACGGUACCUCAUGAAUAAGCCACGGCUAACUACGUGCC
rnacentral:rRNA from 1 species